rnacentral:rRNA from 1 species
AAUUUUGGACAAUGGGGGAAACCCUGAUCCAGCCAUCCCGCGUGUGCGAUGAAGGCCUUCGGGUUGUAAAGCACUUUUGGCAGGGAAGAAAAGGUUCUGGCUAAUAAUCGGAACUGAUGACGGUACCUGUAGAAUAAGCACCGGCUAACUACGUGCCAGCAGCCGCGGUAAUACGUAGGGUGCAAGCGUUAAUCGGAAUUACUGGGCGUAAAGGGUACGCAGGCGGCUAGGAAAGAAAGAUGUGAAAUCCCAGGGCUCAACCUUGGAACUGCAUUUUUAACUACCUGGCUAGAGUAUGUCAGAGGGGGGUAGAAUUCCACGUGUAGCAGUGAAAUGCGUAGAGAUGUGGAGGAAUACCGAUGGCGAAGGCAGCCCCCUGGGAUAAUACUGACGCUCAGGUACGAAAGCGUGGGGAGCAAACA